UUUAUUUUUAAGGAAUUUCUGCAUUCAACGUGGGGCUUGAAUUCACAACCCUGAGAUCAAAUGUCAUAUGCUCUAUUGACCGAGCCAACCAGGUUCAC